rnacentral:rRNA from 1 species
UACGAAGGGUCCAAGCGUUAUCCGGAUUUAUUGGGUUUAAAGGGUGCGUAGGCGGCUUAUUAAGUCAGUGGUGAAAGCCCGUAGCUUAACUACGGAACUGCCAUUGAUACUGAUGAGCUUGAAUAUACUUGAGGUUGGCGGAAUGUGUCAUGUAGCGGUGAAAUGCUUAGAUAUGACACAGAACACCGAUUGCGAAGGCAGCUAGCUAAAGUAUGAUUGACGCUGAUGCACGAAAGCGUGGGGAGCAAACAGGA